rnacentral:tRNA from 1 species
GGGGCUGUGGCUCAGCGGUAGAGCCCUCGUUUAGCACAUGGGAGGCCCUGGGUUCAAUCCUCAGCACCA